rnacentral:rRNA from 1 species
AUACGGAGGGUGCAAGCGUUGUUCGGAAUCACUGGGCGUAAAGGGCGCGCAGGCGGUUUGGUAAGUCAGAUGUGAAAGCCCACGGCUCAACCGUGGAAGUGCAUUUGAAACUGCCAGACUUGAGUACCAGAGGGGAAAGUGGAAUUCCCGGUGUAGAGGUGAAAUUCGUAGAUAUCGGGAGGAAUACCGGUGGCGAAGGCUACUUUCUGGCUGGAUACUGACGCUGAGGCGCGAAAGCGUGGGGAGCAAACAGGAUUAGAAACCCCGGUAGUCC